rnacentral:rRNA from 1 species
ACGUAGGGGGCAAGCGUUGUCCGGAAUCACUGGGCGUAAAGCGCGCGCAGGCGGUCAUCUACGUCUGGGGUGAAAGCCCGGAGCUCAACUCCGGGAUUGCCUUGGAUACGGGAUGACUUGAGGAUCGGAGAGGCAAGGGGAAUUCCACGUGUAGCGGUGAAAUGCGUAGAGAUGUGGAGGAACACCGAUGGCGAAGGCAGCCUUCUGGGCCAAUACUGACGCUCAUGCACGAAAGCGUGGGGAGCAAACAGGA